AAAUACUAUAAUAGUGACGAAAACGUGUUUUGGUACGUGCAUAGAUAAGAUAUCUAGAUACCCAAUGCAAUACUCGUUUUUUUCACUACCUAUCUAGGGCGCCCUCUAGGCGAGCAGUCUCGUUGUUUAAUAGCCACACCUCGUAUAAGUUGAAAUAACACCAGACAUAAAGGUUUUAAGUUUUUGUUAAUCAAAGCGGUGGUAAUCAAGAGUAAAAAUUGUUUGCCCCCUCUCUAUGAAAUUUACCCGGAGACACCCUUGAACAAUACUAUUAACCGAGCUUUACUCAGAAUCGUUUUUUGUUGGCAAUGCUUAAAUUUGCUUAGUUACAGAUAUACAUUAAAUUUCCCUCAAUAUCCUACGUUCCCAACUUCUUAUCUGUAACAAUAACGGUGGUCCACCCUUCAUGUGAAGUAAGUCGGUAUUUUUUUUUCUUUAUCAAUUAUUAAUAUUAAAUUUAAUUAAUUUGUCCCUCCUCCCCAUAGUCAAGGUCUGGAGAUAUCCUGCAAUUGUAACCU